UCCGGUUUGUCACCGGCAGUCUCGCAUGAGUCCCCAACUAAAUGCUGGCAACAUGCGACGGGGGUUGCGCUCGUUGCUGGACUUAACCAAACACCUCACGGCACGAGCUGACGACAGCCAUGCAGCACCUCUGUAGCAGCCUUGCGGCAACAACGUUUCUGUUGUCUUCUCCUACAGUUCAAGCCCAGGUAAGGUUCUUCGCGUUGCAUCGAAUUGAACCACAUGCUCCACCGCUUGUGCGGGCCCCCGUCAAUUCCUUUGAGUUUCAUUCUUGCGAACGUACUCCCCAGGCGGGAUACUUAACGCGUUAGCUACAGCAUUGCACGGGUCGAUACGCACAGCGCCUAGUAUCCAUCGUUUACGGCUAGGACUA
rnacentral:misc_RNA from 1 species